rnacentral:rRNA from 1 species
CCUACGGGAGGCAGCAGUAAGGAAUAUUGGACAAUGGUCGCAAGACUGAUCCAGCCAUGCCGCGUGCAGGAUGACGGCCCUAUGGGUUGUAAACUGCUUUUAUACGGGAAAAAACCCCUCUACGUGUAGAGGGCUGAUUGUACUGUAAGAAUAAGGAUCGGCUAACUCCGUGCCAGCAGCCGCGGUAAUACGGAGGAUCCAAGCGUUAUCCGGAUUCAUUGGGUUUAAAGGGUGCGUAGGCGGAAUAAUAAGUCAGUGGUGAAAGCCCUCAGCUUAACUGAGGAACUGCCAUUGAUACUGUUAAUCUUGAGUAUAUUUGAUGUGGGCGGAAUGUGUCAUGUAGCGGUGAAAUGCUUAGAUAUGACACAGAACACCGAUUGCGAAGGCAGCUCACAAAACUAUAACUGACGCUGAGCGACGAACGACGUGGUAGUACAACAAGAGUAGUAUACCUACGUAGUACGACGACGUACGUAACUAAUAGUAUUACUUACGUAUGUUGUCGUAUACUACUAGUAGUACGUCGUACGACGAAGACGAGUAAGUAAGUAACCGUACCGUACGGGGUUAGGGUUACGGUCCGGGCCGGACCGGUAACGGUUAAACGUUAAAACGGUUAAAGUUAGGUUACGGACGUUGAGGACGUUACGCCGACGGACGACGACGAGGGAGGAGGAG